UCUUUAUUCAAUAUCUCUAACCUACUGGAAAUGCCAGUUUCGUUGACUCAGAGAUAUCUGCUGGGCAUUGAUGAUACCAUUAUCUUUGAUGAUUAUUUAUCUCUACAUUUAGGUGUUGGAGAAUGUGGCAAUACACUAAGGAUGACAUGGAGGCCAAGGAGAUUCGUUUCUCUUUCAGACACGGGAUUUGGGCCUCCCAUUGGGCGACUCUUUCAUUGAUACAAAGGUUCCGAAAACAUUGAGAAAAUCUAAGGUGCAUAUAAAAUAUUCAAAUCGUAAAGCCAUAAGGUUCAGUUGAUCCAUAGCCAUGUGGACUUCUUCUAUGUGACUGAAAGAUCAGUAAGGAUGCCCAACAAUUUGACCUGAUUAAUAAUCCCAGACCAUCUCCUUGAAAUAUUGACCCAAACAAGUAAAGAGUUACUGUCGAGUGUACAUGUAUUUUUGCACUUAUGCAUUAGGAGGGGAGCUACCAAGCGAAUUCCUACAAGCUACUGCAGCGGUCCUGUUUCAUCAGAAGUAUUAGUAGUAAUACUCUGUUUAGUGAGUUGUUUUAUUCGUAGGGUUGCAAACAUACACGCUGACCUCAACACUAAUUUACUGUAAAUUAAUAUUAACCACAUUUGUUCCUAUUUUGGAGAUGGUUGUCAUUGAUUUAACAAAAAAAAUAUUUUGACCCAUGAGCAUUUGAGGAA